UAGGGAAUCUUCCACAAUGGACGCAAGUCUGAUGGAGCAACGCCGCGUGAGUGAAGAAGGUCUUCGGAUCGUAAAACUCUGUUGUUAGAGAAGAACACGAGUGAGAGUAACUCGUUCAUUCGAUGACGGUAUCUAACCAGCAAGUCACGGCUAACUACGUGCCAG
rnacentral:rRNA from 1 species